CACAGAAUAAAGUAAAAAGGGACUGUGAUUGGUUUCCUUCCUUUGCCGUACCUGAAGUUGCUGCAUUUUGGCUGCUGUCUGUAGAUUCCUUCCUGCGCAACUUGCAUU